UAAAAAUGAUAAAAAUUUGCUUCUCUACACUCUACUAAGCCAAUCGCUCCAUCUCUUUCUGCAAUGGCAAACGCACAACCUUCACUAACUCCCUCAUGGUUCCUCGAAUUGGUACCGUUGUUGGCGGUCAUCCUGAUCGCAGCUCACGUUUUCGCUUUGGUUUAUUGGAUUUAUAGACUGGCCACUGAUAAACAGCCUCAAAGAAGAAAGACGCACUGAGGAUCACUUCGUUACUUCAGACGUAGCCAAGUGGCAUGCGGGGUUCUCUUCAAGUUGGUGCAUAAUGAAUUUGGAAGUUCUUUCUUCUGAUGCUGAAUUGGACUGUGCAGAUAUAACAUUCAUACGAGAUUGUAAGAAACUGCAUUUACCAAGUAACUUCCAUUCUUCUUUACAUUAUAUGGAGUAGAUGUGUGUACAUUAUAUUUUUGCAGUUUUAUAGUGUCUGGCUGCUGUAUUAUACAGUUAUUUCUUAAGACCUAGCUAUAUUCCAGGGAUCAAAUGAAUGCACACCGUUCUGAGUUUGUCUUC